AGGCGAGUAAAAUUAGAGUUCAAAAAAGGUGAGUUUUGAAAUCAGUCCCAAAAUUGAGCAUCAGUCAAAGAAGGAACCUCAGCAUAUAAAUAGAAUGCACAAACAAAAGAUAUCUGAGGCCAAGCUAUUGGCAAAAGAAACAACAUGCAAUAGUAGUACAAAGUCAGUAUAUAGAAAAUAUUCAAAGCAUGAUGGUCAAGUA
rnacentral:lncRNA from 1 species